rnacentral:rRNA from 1 species
AAUGCAGUCGAGCGGAAGAUGGGAGCUUGCUCCCUGAUGUUAGCGGCGGACGGGUGAGUAACACGUGGGUAACCUGCCUGUAAGACUGGGAUAACUCCGGGAAACCGGGGCUAAUACCGGAUGGUUGUCUGAACCGCAUGGUUCAGACAUAAAAGGUGGCUUCGGCUACCACUUACAGAUGGACCCGCGGCGCAUUAGCUAGUUGGUGAGGUAACGGCUCACCAAGGCGACGAUGCGUAGCCGACCUGAGAGGGUGAUCGGCCACACUGGGACUGAGACACGGCCCAGACUCCUACGGGAGGCAGCAGUAGGGAAUCUUCCGCAAUGGACGAAAGUCUGACGGAGCAACGCCGCGUGAGUGAUGAAGGUUUUCGGAUCGUAAAGCUCUGUUGUUAGGGAAGAACAAGUGCCGUUCAAAUAGGGCGGCACCUUGACGGUACCUAACCAGAAAGCCACGGCUAACUACGUGCCAGCAGCCGCGGUAAUACGUAGGUGGCAAGCGUUGUCCGGAAUUAUUGGGCGUAAAGGGCUCGCAGGCGGUUUCUUAAGUCUGAUGUGAAAGCCCCCGGCUCAACCGGGGAGGGUCAUUGGAAACUGGGGAACUUGAGUGCAGAAGAGGAGAGUGGAAUUCCACGUGUAGCGGUGAAAUGCGUAGAGAUGUGGAGGAACACCAGUGGCGAAGGCGACUCUCUGGUCUGUAACUGACGCUGAGGAGCGAAAGCGUGGGCAGCCA